rnacentral:rRNA from 1 species
GUUUAUCCCCAUUCCAGAUUGAAUAUCCCCGAUUUUGUUUGUUCUGGAAAGUCAACCAAUCUGGGGCUUGGUAAGAAUUGGAAGGGGUGCCCGUUUGGGAAUACCAAGUGUGAUAAGCU